rnacentral:misc_RNA from 1 species
AAGUCGUAACAAGGUUUCCGUAGGUGAACCUGCGGAAGGAUCAUUACUGAGUUAGGGUCCACCAAGGCCCGAACCUCCAACCCUUGUGUUAAACUAUACCACGUUGCUUCGGCGGGUCCGCCUUUAUUGGCCGCCGGGCUGCUUUGGCAGUCUGGUCCGUUGCCCGUCGAUAGCCCAACUUCAAACUCUUGUUAAAACCGUGUCGUCUGAGUACAUAAAUAAAUUAAAACAAAA